UACGUAGGGUGCAAGCGUUGUCCGGAAUUAUUGGGCGUAAAGAGCUCGUAGGUGGUUUGUCGCGUUGUUCGUGAAAACUCACAGCUCAACUGUGGGCGUGCGGGCGAUACGGGCAGACUGGAGUAAUGCAGGGGAGACUGGAAUUCCUGGUGUAGCGGUGGAAUGCGCAGAUAUCAGGAGGAACACCGGUGGCGAAGGCGGGUCUCUGGGCAGUAACUGACGCUGAGGAGCGAAAGCGUGGGGAGCGAACAGG
rnacentral:rRNA from 1 species